ACGAGGCACCAGCAACGGAAUUGGGGGAUGUAGUCGAAGUGUCUCCUUGAUCACUGCCUUCAAGUACUGCAUUUUUUCCAGAUAUUCUUCAGAUACAUCUGCGUGUUCCCUGCAUUUGCAGAUGAUACAACAAGAGUUGGCUUGCUUCCAAGGUGAAGCAACAUAAGCUCGCCAUAUUGCCGAGACAGGGAUUGAAGUGUACAGUGAGGGUACAUACCGAGUUGGUGAAGGUUCCCCAGUAUUGGCAGCUUUGGGGAGACGGGGGUAAGUUUCUUCGCAUGGAUGCAUUGAAACCGAGCCAUUUAUAGAGGAAGAAUAAAGAUGUGAAGAAGGGAAGGAUUAAUAAUAGGUGAAAAAAUAGCAAGCCUAUUUGUUCCGUUAUCAUGUUAACGUUCAUUGGAAAUCAAAACAUGUUAGCGGAUUGAGCUCGGCUUCAAUGUACCUCUAGGCUCUAGAAGACUGAAGAAGGAGCUGUCUCUCACUAGCAGACUCGCAGUAUUAUGCCAAAGCAAUAUAAAGGCAGAGGGAGGAGAAGACUUUAUUUUUCGAGGUUGAUGAAAGAUAAAAUGUAGGGAUAAUAUUGCAGAAGUUUAGUUAGCUGAAGAAUGUGAAACUUCUGCUAAACUCUGAUAUUCCUGCAAGUUUCUAUGCAUGGUAUGCAUAGUUUCACUACAGGUUUGAAACAUGUGCCUCAAACUUUCCAACAAUGCUAUUAGACAUUGUUUGUUCCA